rnacentral:tRNA from 6 species
AAAAUCCGUUGGCUUUGUAGACCAUGAGGGUUCAAGUCCCUCUACCCCCA